rnacentral:rRNA from 1 species
UGGCGACCGGCGCACGGGUGCGUAACGCGUAUGCAACCUACCUGUAACAGGGGGAUAACACUGAGAAAUCGGUACUAAUACCGCAUAACACUAUGAGAGGCAUCUCUUGUGGUUGAAAGUUUCGGCGGUUACAGAUGGGCAUGCGUUGUAUUAGCUGGUUGGUGAGGUAACGGCUCACCAAGGCGACGAUACAUAGGGGGACUGAGAGGUUAACCCCCCACAUUGGUACUGAGACACGGACCAAACUCCUACGGAAGGCAGCAG